rnacentral:lncRNA from 1 species
CGCCUGCGCGGACGUCGAUGGGUUUGUGGGCGCAGGGCGCGAGGCGCGAGGCGGUAGCUGGGCUAGUCCUGUUCCCUGGCGUCUGGGCCUUUCUGCUCUCCGCAAGGAGCUGGGUCGCGACCUGUCACUGCCAGCCGUGCGCUCGCCCUCUGCGCCCCGUCUCGUGGUCACUGCCGCCCUCCCUCCCGCCACACCUGUGAUGAUCGCUAUGGAGCCGCGCCUCAGGUGGCAUUACUAUAAACCUAAGAGGAGAGGCGCCCGUUCGAAUAAGGGCAAAUUAUUUAGUAUUUUGUCUUCAAUGUUCCUGGCAGCUUAAAGUACCAACUGGGACACUUGUCACUAGUUUGAGAAGUGCAGCCAUAGUGACCUCUUUUGAAAGAUGAAUCAAUGAAUUAAGUCAUUUCUGAGAAACCAAGGAGGCCUGUUGAAGGAGGCUGGCCCUCCUGUGGCAGGUAACCCAACCUCCACUGCCCUUGGCAACAGGACAAGGCUAAUAUUUUCCCAAGAAGGGCCUUUUCAUGGAAUGAUCUUUCCAACCCGUUGACUACAACAAGCUGCCGCUCAGUCUUUUUUCCAUAGAGAGGACGUUUUUCCCCCAGAACAAGCAGGUCUUUUGUACCAGAAGGAAAAGAUUGCCACUCACCACUUGUUACUUUAUAGCCUUCGAAGCCCAACCCCAGGUGCUAGCUUUGAAACCCAACUUUGCCACAGACCAGCAUGUUGAUGGAGAGGCUCUCACCCACAAGCAUGGAGUGGGAGGGUGAUUUCCUGGGAGAAAGAAAGCCACUUUCUUUUUGGAAGCCAACGAAUGCCAAGUAGAUGCCACCAAAGCCAGUGAUGGCUUGUGAAAGCCCAGUGUCCUGGGACAGGAAAGACAAGGGGAUCCCAGCCAAGUCUGACUGCAAUGAGGCCAAACGUUGCCCCAGAGCAAGACUUCAUCUCCCUUUUCCUGACAAACCAUUGAUGGCUGCGUUUCACAUUAACCUAGAUUAAAAGUCUCCUUGAAAUGUAUAAUUGUAAUUAAUUAUUGGUUCAUUUGUUUGUCUCACCCCCACCCCCAGAAUGUUACUUAAUGGUAUGGAGGGAUUACCUUUAUCUUUGUAUCAUCAGAGAUCAAUAAAUGCAUGCUGAAUAAAUAAGUGUGAAAUAA